rnacentral:rRNA from 1 species
GACGAACGCUGGCGGCGUGCCUAAUACAUGCAAGUAGAACGCUGAAGGAGGAGCUUGCUCUUCUGGAUGAGUUGCGAACGGGUGAGUAACGCGUAGGUAACCUGCCUGGUAGCGGGGGAUAACUAUUGGAAACGAUAGCUAAUACCGCAUAAUAUUGACUAUUGCAUGAUAGUCAAUUGAAAGGUGCAAAUGCACCACUACCAGAUGGACCUGCGUUGUAUUAGCUAGUUGGUGGGGUAACGGCUCACCAAGGCGACGAUACAUAGCCGACCUGAGAGGGUGAUCGGCCACACUGGGACUGAGACACGGCCCAGACUCCUACGGGAGGCAGCAGUAGGGAAUCUUCGGCAAUGGACGGAAGUCUGACCGAGCAACGCCGCGUGAGUGAAGAAGGUUUUCGGAUCGUAAAGCUCUGUUGUAAGAGAAGAACGAGUGUGAGAG